GACGAACGCUGGCGGCGUGCUUAACACAUGCAAGUCGAACGGAAAGGCCCUGCUUUUGUGGGGUGCUCGAGUGGCGAACGGGUGAGUAACACGUGAGUAACCUGCCCUUGACUUUGGGAUAACUUCAGGAAACUGGGGCUAAUACCGGAUAGGAGCUACUGCUGCAGGGUGGGGGUUGGAAAGUUUCGGCGGUUGGGGAUGGACUCGCGGCUUAUCAGCUUGUUGGUGGGGUAGUGGCUUACCACGGCUUUGACGGGUAGCCGGCCUGAGAGGGUGACCGGCCACAUUGGGACUGAGAUACGGCCCAGACUCCUACGGGAGGCAGCAGUGGGGAAUAUUGCACAAUGGGCGGAAGCCUGAUGCAGCAACGCCGCGUGCGGGAUGCCGGCCUUCGGGUUGUAAACCGCUUUCGCCUGUGACGAAGCGUGCGUGACGGUAAUGGGUAAAGAAGCACCGGCUAACUACGUG
rnacentral:rRNA from 1 species